AUUGAACGCUGGCGGCAUGCCUUACACAUGCAAGUCGAACGGUAACAGGUUAAGCUGCCGAGUGGCGAACGGGUGAGUAAUACAUCGGAACGUGCCCAGUAGUGGGGGAUAGCCCGGCGAAAGCCGGAUUAAUACCGCAUACGACCUAAGGGUGAAAGGGGGGGAUCGCAAGACCUCUCGCUAUUGGAGCGGCCGAUGUCAGAUUAGCUAGUUGGUGGGGUAAAAGCUCACCAAGGCGACGAUCUGUAGCUGGUCUGAGAGGACGACCAGCCACACUGGGACUGAGACACGGCCCAGACUCCUACGGGAGGCAGCAGUGGGGAAUUUUGGACAAUGGGCGCAAGCCUGAUCCAGCCAUGCCGCGUGCGGAAAGAAGGCCUUCGGGUUGUAAACCGCUUUUGUCAGGGAAGAAAUCCUUUGGGUUAAUACCUCGGGGGGAUGACGGUACCUGAAGAAUAAGCACCGGCUAACUACGUG
rnacentral:rRNA from 1 species